GGUUAGCUCAGCUGGUUAGAGCGCCUGCCUUACAAGCAGGAGGCCACAGGUUCGAUCCCUGUAC
rnacentral:tRNA from 1 species